CCGGGUUGUUCCUGCCAGUAGUAUAUGCUUUUCUCAAGAAUGAGCCAUACAUGUGUAAGUACCCAUGGCUGGUAAAGUGACACUGCAAAUGUUUCAUUGAAUUGGGGAUGGUUCCUUUGAUGGAUCCAUCUGUUACUUGGAUAACUGUGGUAAAUCUACAGUGAAUACAUGCUGAGAAACACUGACCUGCCUGGAUCCAUACAUUUAUCAGACCAAGCCCAAUACAGGCUUGCACGGCCGCUUUGGAGACUCUAGCUAAGCUUGGGCAGAUUGCACAUCCCCAUGAAGGCAAUGAUACAGGGAAUCAGUAUUCAAUUUCAUAGAGGGAGUCUGAGAAAUGGCUACCACAUCCAAGGAAGGCAGCAGGUGCACAAAUUGCUCACUCCCAACUCAGGAAGGACUCUUUUGAGGCCCUGUAAUUGGAAUGUGUACACUUAAAAUCCUCAAACGAGGAUUCAUAAGAGGCAAGUCUGGUGCCAGCAGCCAUGGUAAUUCCAGCUCCAAAAGCGUAUGUUUUAUUUGCUACACUUAAAAAGCUCAUCUUGUGAUCGAGUUGGCGGUCCAGUGCGAGGCAUGGAAAUGCUUAUCCCAGCUGCUGCCUCCCAGCGCCCCCUUGAUACUCUUGACUUAGUGUCCUGGGGGUCCGAAGAAGCGUUUACUUUGAAAACAUUAGAGUGUUCAAAGCAGGUCAGUCACCUGAAUAGCUCAGCUAGGAAUAAUAAAUAGGACUCCAGUUCCAUUUUGUUUGUUUUCAAACUGAGGCCAUGAGUAAGAGGGACUGCCGGAGGUGUUCUUAUUGUACCGCUAGUGGUGAUAUUCUUGGACUGUCGUACUUCCGACCAUAAAUGAUGCCAACGAGUGAUCCGGCAGCAUUGUUCCCAUGACCCAUUAAUCAGCUUCCAGGAAACCAAGGACUUUGGGUUGCAGGGAGAGUAUGGUUGCUAAGCUGGAAAGGCACCACCAGGAGUGGAGCCUGUAGCUUAAUUUGACUCAACACUGGCAAUCUCACCCAGCCUAGACAUGGAAAGGAUUUACAGAUUAAUAGCUCUUUCUCAAUUCUGUGGGUGGUGGUGCAUGUCCAUUCUUGGUUGGUGGAGCAACUUGUCUGGUUUACUCUGAAGACAAACAGUACUCCUCCAUGCUAACUGGUUACACAAACCCUAGCAUCAGCGUGAAAUUCGUAGACGGACAAGUGGAAUUCAGCCACAUGAGAUUGAACAAUAACAGGUCUGUGAUGCCCUUACAUGUCCAGGACUGCAUACACGCUACACUAAAUCAGUCAGCGUGUGUCUACGUCUACACUUCACCGGCAGGUGAGGGUGACCCACAGAACCCUGUUCAUGAUAGGAAUUGGGGAAUGCAAUUAUUUUCCAUCAACAAGGAAUUCCCAGUAAGUCUGGAUCUUUGGCUCAUGUUGAUUAAGAUCCUGCACUUUGUACAAACUGCACAUCACUACUAUUGAUUGGAUGUUUAAGUGAGGUCCUUGAAUCAACCCACCGGGCGCUGGCAAUGGCCGUGGAAGAGCACAGAGAAGCUGAUCAAACUUAACUAUCUAGAUUCGUAACAUGGAUUCCGGAGGUGAACCUGUUGAAU
rnacentral:rRNA from 1 species